AGUUCCAGGCCAGCCAGAGCUGUUAACACAGAGAAACUAUCUCAGACAAACAAACAAACUGGAGACUGGCAGAUAUUUUGAGUUUGAAUCAACAUGGUUGAGUCAGGUAGCACUGAGUAAAUUAUUUAAUAUCUGUGACCCUCGGUUUCUGAGAUCCUAAUAUGUGCCUAAUAAUGGUACCCACGGGGCUCACUAAAAUAAUUAAGUGAUGUGUAAGCCCUGGACGUUUAUGCACUAGCUCUUUAUAUUUGAAAAUACAUUUUCUGGUAUGGUUUUGUUAUUUUUUACUCUUGUGAAAACUGUUUUCUAUGCACGCCUGUUUAGAGCAAGUGAUAGUGUCAAGAGGGUAGCCAAGUGGUCUAGAACUUGUCUAUCAUGUGAGAUGACCUAGACUCCAGCCCCACUACCUCAAAACAAAAGGAACUGUUAGAGAGGCAGGAAACAGACCUUUUAAAUGCUUCCCAAAUGCAUUCUUCUCCUUUGAAGCCUCCAGACCUCGUGGGCUUUUUCUGCAGAGGCAUCCACAGCAGCUCUGUGAUCUCAGACACAGAGGGGAAGCAAAGUGAAGGGUCUGUAACACCCAAACAAAGCCUUUUAUGCAUCUUUCUUGGUAUUUGAAUUCACUGCUCUACCACAUUCUAGUCUUCUAUUUAUGUAUCACAUGGGUGCUGAGGUAAAUUCCUAGCCUGUUAAGAAUUCACUUCCCUUCACACAAGCUGUGUCACCCUCCAAAGGCCUUUGCAGACCUCAAAAUCAGCUUCAAAGAUUGCACAGAAGUUAAGAGACUGUUUACUAGUAUAUUAGGAGGUAGCCUGUAAUCCCAGCACUCAGGAGGCUGGUGGGUGAUUAAUCUGGUCUGUAUAGCAGAUUUGAGGCUAGUGAAAGCUACAUGGGGAGACCCUUUCUCAGUUUAUUAGGUCACCUAAGAUUUUUAGCCAAUCCUCACAAAACAGCCACCCUCAAGGAGAAAGUCUAUAUUCAUAGCUCUGCCCACCCAACUCCCACAGGAAGACUUCUUUAGAACAACGAAACAUCCUCCAGUAUAGAUCCAGCGAGAAAAUGGGCCACUUCUAUCCUUAGCCCUCUGCAUACCUAGUUGAAAAUGAAUGAGCAUUGAGUCUUCAACUUCAUGGAGUCUUCCACUCCACUAUGGUAGCCCUGUAGCUAAAGCAUCUCUGAGGUCUUCUUGCCUGAGAAAGGGGUCAACACUCCAGAGCUACCUACCCAAAUCAAUGCCCCCCCACCCUUCAUUACUGUUGUUGGCAUUUUCUAUUUGAAGGAACUCAAGAUCAAGGGCAAACUUGGUGGAUUAGUUACUUGUUGCUAAGACAAAAUAUCUGAUAAGAAUCACAUUAAGGAAAAGAAGGAUUUAUUUUGAUCAGAGUCCAAGGAUGUAGUGCAUCCUGUCAGGGAAGUCACGGCGGCAUGCAGCUGCGCACAUCCCAUCCGUAGUCAGGAAGCAGAAAAGAUGAAUGCCAAUGUUCAUCUUAUUUCAUCCUUUUUAUUCCCUCCAGGACCCCUGUCAGUGAGAAGGCACCACUCACAGUUAAGGUGGGUCCUCCCACCUUGGUUAUCCUAAACCAGACAGUCCUCUCAGGGGUACCCAGAGGCUAUCCUAAUCUAGGUAAUUGCUCACAGAGAUACCCGGUUGUUGAUGGCCAGCACUAAACCCCAUACCUGGAGUUCUAUCUCCUGGAUUAUAAGCAGAAGUAUUAAAUCCACAUGUCCCAGCAGAGAGGAACCUCUGAACUCUACUUUCUGUAGUUCUUCAUUAAUUAAGCUUUUUUAUGUGUAUAAAUCCAGUUUCCUUCCCAUAUUGUUUAAAUAUUGUCACUCCAAUGAUGACAUCGUUUUUGAAAUGUCAUGUUUAGCACUAGGAAAUACCUUUUCAUACGAGGACUUGUUUUGUUUUGUUUGAGACAGAGUUUCCUGUAGCCCGGGCUGACCUUGAGCUUACUGUGUAGCUAAAGAUGAUCUUGACUCUCCUGCUUCCGCUCUCGGAGUGCUGAAGUUGGGAAAGUCUUACACUCACACAUUUCGUCGACUGGCUCUUCCUUAAAUAUAAUGGUCAUUAUUUCCCCAAGUGCUCAUGGUAUUUCAGUAUAAACUUCUCACAUGCUAAGGUUGCUUGCAUAUUUUUCAGUGACCCCGUCCUUUAAUUACAGGUUCAGCUGGUUUACCCAGCACUCUGCAGUGCUAUCUGCAAGCCUCCACAGCCAUCCAUGCAUUUCUUCUCUUAGAAUUCAGCUUCCCGGACUUUCUGCUUUGACUCUUCCGCUUGACAUAAAGGUGCUCUUCUUGGUUUGAUGCUCCCUGCAUCGUGCCUCUCUGAUACUAGCUUCUUUAGUUUCCCAAAAGAAAAGUAAAACAAUAUUGUAAUCAGCCUGCUGUACCUUGGAUUUAUUGGAUGGCUACAACAUGCCAAACAUUAUGCUAAACAUUUUAUGUGUAUUUUCCUAACAGAAUAGAUGUUAUGUAAUCA